CACGCAGGCGGUCUGUCAAGUCGGAUGCGAAAUCCCCGGGCUCAACCUGGGAACUGCAUUCGAAACUGGCAGGCUAGAGUCUUGUAGAGGGGGGUAGAAUUCCAGGUGUAGCGGUGAAAUGCGUAGAGAUCUGGAGGAAUACCGGUGGCGAAGGCGGCCCCUGGACAAAGACUGACGCUCAGGUGCGAAAGCGUGGGGAGCAAACA
rnacentral:rRNA from 1 species